CUGGGUUUGGUGGCGCGGUCUUUGCUGGGAACACGAGGGUUGUUUCUGGGAUCUCCAGAUAUACCAGAGAAGAGCUGCAAUUUAAUCGAGAGAUAGUAAGUUCCUUGCAUGUUGUUGGUGAUUUUGUAGCCACUACUCGUCCUUUCUCGUGAUGUUCUGACCUGAGAUGAUCUGCAAAUUUACCUCGGCGUAUCUCCAAACGAAGCCGGUCCAGGUCGAGGCGUGAAGGUGAUCCUCGGGAUUGUGCUGCCUUUCGGAACUCAGACACAACUCGAUCUGCUUCGAGGCGACUUCUUCUCAAAAACUGACGCCUAUCACAGUGAUUUCAUCUCUGAAUACCCC
rnacentral:lncRNA from 1 species